rnacentral:rRNA from 1 species
UACGAAGGGGGCUAGCGUUGUUCGGAAUUACUGGGCGUAAAGCGCGCGUAGGCGGUGAUCUUUGUCAGAGGUGAAAUCCCGAGGCUCAACUUCGGAAUUGCCUUUGAUACUGGCAAGCUAGAGUCCGGAAGAGGUAAGUGGAACUCCUAGUGUAGAGGUGGAAUUCGUAGAUAUUAGGAAGAACACCAGUGGCGAAGGCGGCUUACUGGUCCGGAACUGACGCUGAGGUGCGAAAGCGUGGGGAGCAAACAGG